GGGCUUGCUUUGACAGCACAUAUGCUAAAAUUGGAAUGAUAGCCAGAUUAGCAUGGCCCCUGUAUAAGGAUGACACGCAAAUGUGUAAAGCACUAUGGAUUUAU
ensembl:snRNA U6 U6 spliceosomal RNA